UGUGUUUAUCACCGCAGUUGUAACCUCUAUAAUUAUACCAUGUGAUGAAGCCGCUCGCGAACAUAGCUCACACAGAGGAUCUGUGGAAAAUAUGUAUAAUUCAUGGUGUUGAUCGUAUUUUUAGCUGCUCCGGCUUGUUGUUCGGAGACAGGGAUGUAGCGUUAAACAAGGGCUACUUUGUAAUGAAGAUGAGGAUCUACUCCUUGACUGAACAGUUUGUUUUCCUCCUCUUUUAACGUUAGCCCGCUGCCUGCUGGGAGGCUGCGCUGAAAGAGGUGGCGCCUUGGGUUUUUCUGGGGGGGUUAAUUUGAAGUUUCCCCGUCUGUAUUAUUUUCAAAGCCAGCAGGGGUCUCGCCUGGCAACUCUACACUCUCGGCCAAUCACAGUGAAGCUCUUUGGCCACUGUCCAUGACUUGUUUCUUAAACAAGGGUUUAGGACCUAAAAUGGGCCACAGAUUUGAAACAAAUAACACAUAACAACUUUCACACAAGGACGACCUUGAAAGAACUUUCCUGAAAUAUUGCACCCAGAUUCAUCAAUAUGCCUCAGCUCUCUCCAUCCCAGGAUCAACACACAUCCAGGGGAUAAACCUGCGAUGGAGAUUUGCAUUGAUAUGACAGCAGUUUGAAAAUGCUUUCCUCAGGAUUUCUUCUCUUGACAAGAUCAUGAGUAAAAGAUGAGGCCUGUGUGAUUGUAAAUUUUUGACCAGUUUCAUGUAUUAACUCUAAAUAUGCAGUUGAACGAUGACCUGAAUUCCACCAAAUGAAAGAUUAAAAAGCCUCAUGAAUUUAAUUUCAUGAGGAAAUCCUUCUCACCAAACCAAAAGUAUGUCCUCACUAGUAUAACAACACAAGCACAGACUGUGUGCUGUGUGUGUGUGUGUGUGUGUGUGUGUGAGAGUGUGUGUGUGUGUGUGUGUGUGUGUGUGUGUGUGUCAGUGUGUGUGAAAGCGAUAGAACGGGAGAUUGAUGGUAAUGUGGAGGAAAAGCAAGAUUGACUUGGGGAAUUUUUUUCUGCUUUAUUUGAGUGUAUAGAAAAUGAGGAAACAAAAUAGUUCUGGUGGGGAACAAAAUAAUAUAAAGGGGCUUAUAAAAACACAAGAAACAGAGAAAGUAAAAACGAGACGACAAAUACAGAAACUAGAUUAAGGGAGUCCGCCGCUUUAAUGUCUAAAGUUUUACACUACAUUAUCAGCAUUUAUCAGCAUUCAAACAGACAGAUACAUCUUGGCCUGCUCCUAAACUGUGAAUUUAUACGAUCUUCCUGCUGAUUGUGGGAAUUGUCUUAAGCAGUCUACCCAAGAGAUAUAAAUAAUUGUACAAGAUUACCAGAGUAACAUGUAUGUAAAAUGUGUAUGAGUGAACACAGCAACUACACAACCGACCCUUCCACCCCUGCCUUCUCCCAUCCCCUUAUCUUGUACUUCAUGAGUAUUGGUAAUUAAUUUCUUAGUGUCUUUUUUGUUAUGUUGCCCAUAC